UACAGAGGUCCCGAGCGUUGUUCGGAUUUAUUGGGCGUAAAGGGUGCGUAGGUGGCAAAGUAAGUUGGAUGUGAAAUCCUGGGGCUCAACCUCAGAAUUGCAUUCAAUACUGCUUAGCUAGAGAGCUGUAGAGGAGACUGGAAUUUACGGUGUAGCAGUGAAAUGCGUAGAUAUCGUAAGGAACACCGGUGGCGAAGGCGGGUCUCUGGGCCGUAACUGACGCUGAGGAGCGAAAGCGUGGGGAGCGAACAGG
rnacentral:rRNA from 1 species